ACACGACUACAUUAGAUACCCCUGUAGUCCAGGGUGUAAACGCUGCAGACUUGGUGUUGGAGGCCCUUUGGGGGCAUUCAGUGCCGGAGAGAAGUUGUUAAGUCUGCUACUUGGGAGUACGUCCGCAAGGAUGAAACUUAAAGGAAUUGGCGGGGGAGCACCGCAACGGGAGGAGCGUGCGGUUUAAUUGGAUUCAACACCGUAAAACUCACCAGGGAAGACUGUUACAUGAAGGCCGAGAUGAAGACUCUGCUAGAUUUUCAG
rnacentral:rRNA from 1 species